rnacentral:rRNA from 1 species
UACCUACGGGGGGCUGCAGUGGGGAAUUUUGGACAAUGGGCGCAAGCCUGAUCCAGCCAUGCCGCGUGCGGGAAGAAGGCCUUCGGGUUGUAAACCGCUUUUGUCAGGGAAGAAAAGCUCUGGGCUAAUACCUCGGAGUGAUGACGGUACCUGAAGAAUAAGCACCGGCUAACUACGUGCCAGCAGCCGCGGUAAUACGUAGGGUGCAAGCGUUAAUCGGAAUUACUGGGCGUAAAGCGUGCGCAGGCGGUUGUGCAAGACAGAUGUGAAAUCCCCGGGCUUAACCUGGGAACUGCAUUUGUGACUGCACGGCUGGAGUGCGGCAGAGGGGGAUGGAAUUCCGCGUGUAGCAGUGAAAUGCGUAGAUAUGCGGAGGAACACCGAUGGCGAAGGCAAUCCCCUGGGCCUGCACUGACGCUCAUGCACGAAAGCGUGGGGAGCAAACAGGAUUAGAUACCCGUGUAGUCC